ensembl:snRNA U6 U6 spliceosomal RNA
GUGCUCACUUCAGCAGCACAUAUACUAGAAUUGGAAUGAUGCAAAGAUUAGCAUGGCACGCAAACUCAUGAAGUGUUCCAUAUUUUU